AGUUCCGGGACAGUUAGUGGGCAACAGCGGCAUCCCGGUAUAAUUUUCGGGAUAUCUGGUGAGUCAUGGUUAUCGAUUUUGGUGAAACCGAUUAUGUGGGAAAUGUGUGGGGUUGUGAUGUGUGUAUUAUGGAUUAGUGGGUUGGACAGUGUGGGGUUGUGAUGUGUGUAUUAUGGAUUAGUGGGUUGGACACUAGCCU
rnacentral:lncRNA from 1 species